UGGGGAAUAUUGCACAAUGGGGGAAACCCUGAUGCAGCGACGCCGCGUGAGCGAAGAAGGCCUUCGAGUCGUAAAGCCCUGUCCUAUGAGAAGAUAAUGACGGUAUCAUAGGAGGAAGCCCUGGCUAAAUACGUGCCAGCAGCCGCGGUAAUACGUAUGGGGCGAGCGUUGUCCGGAAUUAUUGGGCGUAAAGGGUACGUAGGUGGUUUUUUAAGUCAGGUGUCAAAGCGUGGAGCUUAACUCCAUUAAGCACUUGAAACUGAAAGACUUGAGUGAAGGAGAGGAAAGUGGAAUUCCUAGUGUAGCGGUGAAAUGCGUAGAUAUUAGGAGGAAUACCGGUGGCGAAGGCGACUUUCUGGACUUUUACUGACGCUCAGGUACGAAAGCGUGGGGAGCAAACAGG
rnacentral:rRNA from 1 species